UACGAAGGUGGCAAGCGUUGUUCGGAUUUACUGGGCGUACAGGGUGCGUAGGCGGUUGGAUAAGCCCUCCGUGAAAUCUCCAGGCUUAACCUGGAAAGUGCAGAGGGGACUGUUCAGCUAGAGGAUGGGAGAGGAGCGCGGAAUUCCCGGUGUAGCGGUGAAAUGCGUAGAGAUCGGGAGGAACACCGGUGGCGAAGGCGGAUCUCUGGGCCUUACCUGACGCUCAGGUGCGAAAGCUAGGGGAGCGAACAGG
rnacentral:rRNA from 1 species